rfam:Xenopus laevis strain J chromosome 2S, whole genome shotgun sequence.
CGGAAGCUGGUUUCAUGUGGUGACUUAGAUUUAUUCAUCUCUGUUUCUAGCACCAUUUGAAAUCAGUGUUCU